AACGAACGCUGGCGGCAUGCCUAACACAUGCAAGUCGAACGAGACCUUCGGGUCUAGUGGCGCACGGGUGCGUAACGCGUGGGAACCUGCCCUUAGGUUCGGAAUAACUCCCCGAAAGGGGUGCUAAUACCGGAUAAUGUCUUCGGACCAAAGAUUUAUCGCCUUUGGAUGGGCCCGCGUUGGAUUAGCUAGUUGGUAGGGUAAAAGCCUACCAAGGCGACGAUCCAUAGCUGGUCUGAGAGGAUGAUCAGCCACACUGGGACUGAGACACGGCCCAGACUCCUACGGGAGGCAGCAGUGGGGAAUAUUGGACCACGGGCGAAAGCCUGAUCCAGCAAUGCCGCGUGAGUGAUGAAGGCCUUAGGGUUGUAAAGCUCUUUUACCCGGGAUGAUAAUGACAGUACCGGGAGAAUAAGCGCCGGCUAACUCCGUG
rnacentral:rRNA from 1 species